UACGUAGGGAGCAAGCGUUAUCCGGAUUUAUUGGGUGUAAAGGGUGCGUAGACGGGAAAGCGAGUUAGUUGUGAAAUACCUAGGCUCAACUUAGGAACUGCAACUAAAACUACUAAUCUUGAGUACUGGAGGGGAAAGCGGAAUUCCUAGUGUAGCGGUGAAAUGCGUAGAUAUUAGGAAGAACACCGGUGGCGAAGGCGGCUUUCUGGACAGAAACUGACGUUGAGGCACGAAAGUGUGGGGAGCAAAC
rnacentral:rRNA from 1 species